UCAUCUAGCUACCAACCGUCGCGUCAACCUCCAGUUUCAAUGCCGCCUCAAAACCAACAGCUCCCUCAAGCAUUCGAAGAGAAAAAGUGGCAAAACCUCAAAAAAUAAUGGAGAGGAUGCAGCAAUAUUGCUCGCCUUUGAACCCUUCAUGUUCAACUUUAAGGCUGAUUAUCAUCCUAAUCGAACCGUCACGCCACCACCACCAUCUGACUGCCACUUCCGUCAUCACCACCUUCAUUCACAAGCGCUACCACUUACACCACGAAAAUGGCAAAACCUCAAAAACAAAU
rnacentral:lncRNA from 1 species